rnacentral:rRNA from 1 species
CUUUCGGGGUGGAUUAGUGGCGAACGGGUGAGUAACACGUGGGCAAUCUGCCCUUCACUCUGGGACAAGCCCUGGAAACGGGGUCUAAUACCGGAUAACACUCUGUCCUGCAUGGGACGGGGUUAAAAGCUCCGGCGGUGAAGGAUGAGCCCGCGGCCUAUCAGCUUGUUGGUGGGGUAAUGGCCUACCAAGGCGACGACGGGUAGCCGGCCUGAGAGGGCGACCGGCCACACUGGGACUGAGACACGGCCCAGACUCCUACGGGAGGCAGCAGUGGGGAAUAUUGCACAAUGGGCGAAAGCCUGAUGCAGCGACGCCGCGUGAGGGAUGACGGCCUUCGGGUUGUAAACCUCUUUCAGCAGGGAAGAAGCGAAAGUGACGGUACCUGCAGAAGAAGCGCCGGCUAACUACGUGCCAGCAGCCGCGGUAAUACGUAGGGCGCAAGCGUUGUCCGGAAUUAUUGGGCGUAAAGAGCUCGUAGGCGGCUUGUCACGUCGGAUGUGAAAGCCCGGGGCUUAACCCCGGGGUCUGCAUUCGAUACGGGCUA